rnacentral:lncRNA from 1 species
GGAGAUUCUCUCCUCACGGCCUUGUCAAUGGAGAAUCAUCACCCUUCCACUCUCUUAUCCAUGGAUUCAAGCGCUUCCUCUCAUGACGAAUUGGAUUUGGAAAUGAAUAGGCAAAUUGUUCUUUCUCGUCCGCCUGAUAUCAAUCUGCCUCUCUCUGCUGAGCGUAGCCCUCCCCUACAGCAAUGGAACUCUGACCAGUGUGAUAUUUUGGAUGUCGGGCUCCAUUCACAAGUUUAUGAGACUGAGAGCUACCUCACUGUUCCCAAGCCAGGACGAAAAUGUGCCAAGCGGGUAGAUAGCAUCUGGGGUGCUUGGUUUUUCUUUAGCUUUUACUUUAAGCCUGCUUUGAAUGACAAAUCGAAGGCCAAGAUUAUCCGUGAUAGCAACGGUGUUACUGGUUU